UAUUCUGCCAGCGGUCUAACGAAAUGCACGCAAUAAGUUUUCGGUCGACUUCGGGAAUGGUCUUCGUGCAUAAAUGUCCAGAAAAAUAAGCGCAGCGUUAGGUCCCACACAAUGUCAUGUUCUAUCAAAAUCUAUCCAAGUAUUUGUAUGGACAUAGUCCCGUUUUUUUUUAAUAUACAGAAGUUUUGGUGUUGGUCUAAGAGUGCGGCACCCAGUUUCUAUGUGCCGUCCUGCAUUGACCUUGAUAAUAUCUUGAUAAGUUUAAAUUUUAGACAGUUUUAUGUGUGUUAAAUUGAAGAGUAGGAAAAUCCAAAGACCUGGGAAGUGUGAAACAGAAAGAAGAAAGCUUUAUAGGGUCGGACCCUAUAAAGUAUAUAUACGCUUGAUCAGUAUCACUAGCCGAGUCAAACUGGCCAGUGCCACGCCUACACCUUUCCCAUCAUUUUCCAUCGACAAUUUUUAUUUCCAGAAGUUUGAUAACAACAUAAUGGUCCAAUGUUGCCGACUGGAUAACUCCACUUAUUGGACUCCGCCACAGAGUUGGUGGUAAGGGAUACCACCUGUUGAGCUUGUUGCGGACGAAAAGAAUGCAAUUGUGAUUUUAAAAAUACUGGAAAGUCAACAUGUUGCUGAAUUUGCAAGCUGGAUGAUAAUUCAUUAGCAGCUAAGCCCUUUAUACGCGAUUUCUCACUAACACAUUUUGAUAAUGUCCUCUUGGAAAGACAUCGAUCCUUUUGAAGUUUAUCUUUUUUUCGUCGAGCUAAAAUUUUUAAAUGUCCAUUUAUUUCUUUUGCGUCCUGAAAAGAAAGAUUUAAAAAAUAAUAUGUUGUAAACACAAUGUACACAAUUAUAUACCCCUUGCAGUCCAACUUAUCAUUUUUGUCAUACGUUAUUAAGCGUAAGUACUUGUUACUCAUUGGUUGGCUUUCUAAAGAAAUAUAUAUAAGCUUAAAUAAACUCCAA